rnacentral:lncRNA from 1 species
UACCUGUGGAUGAGGUCUGGAGCCAAAAUAACCAUCACCCAAUCCACUAGAAAGUGGGUUAAAUUGGGUUAAAAUGCCAACACUUAAAGUUUGGUUAUUUUUAACUUCCUACAUGAAGAACUGCCCAUCACCCUCCUUUGCUGAUCUGUCAGGAAGAGGGAAGAAGCUCCUGGCCAGUAAAACAAUAGGAAGGCCAGGCACAGAGUAACCCGGUGGUGGUGGUGGUGGUAGUGGUGGUGGUGGUAGGUGCACUAGGCAGCGUGUCUGUUUAGGGCUGCCUGCCCCUGUCCCCCACCACAGGACAAGACAAGCUCUAGACACCUCAGCAAGUCUCAUGAGCUGAGCCUUGCUUUUGAAGGAAGGCUCCAUCUUCCUGGCCCCUCCUGAGGCCUGGAUCAGAGGAACUUCCAAGAGGCACUGCCCUGAGCACCCAUUUGUACCCACAGCUGAGCCUGCACUGCCGGCCACCCUGAUGCACCCAGCAACCCAGCUUCUAAAACCUGAGGCUGCAGAGGGUUUAAACAAAAUAAGAUUACUGAUUUUGACUGGCCUAAUUUUUCCUAUGGGCCUUAGGAACUCUUCUUGUAUUUUUGUGACCCCUCACACCCAGAGCUUUCCAUAAGCGAAAUGGGCUUUCAUUGAGGGAAAACCAAAAUGCUGUCUCACUGUUAACCUUUAUUACUUAGGCUCUGGUUUGGCUACAGGAAAACAAGGUGGUGUUACUGUCAGGUCACCUUGUCAAGCUGUGGCUAUUCAUAAAUGCCAUGCCACAAAAAAACACCGAUUUCCAGGAAGUUGAAUUUAGAAGGAAAAAGGUAGGAUUGUGAGGCUAAAGAACCUUCAUUAAGUUCUUGCUAUAUGCUAGACACAUUUGCUCCAGGUUAAGGAAACCCCCACAAUCUUAAAACUUGGGCUGUGAUAGAAAGCUGGCACAUUAACAGCCAACUGCAUUGGAAGACCUGCAGCCAUAAGGGUGAGUGAUGAAGGGGGAGCCUUGGGGGGCAGGGUGUGGAAGGAGGGGCACAGUGCAGCCUGGAGAGCGACCCUCCCUCAGAAAGGAAAGGCAGUGAGGGGAGCAUGAGACUGGCAAGGGCAUGGGUCUCACUGCCCAGGGUUUAGGGGAAGAGUAGGAGCAAGAACGAGCAGGGGCAGGGGUGGCUGUGGACCAGAGAGGCUGCCCAGGGCAGAGGGAGGACUUCAGUUAAGCCUAACCCUGACACGGGGGUCCCACUGGAAGCAGAAAAGGAGGGUGCCACGAGAUGAAGCGAAGCCCAGGCUGGCGGUCUUAGUGACCCAGGGUGGGGGCGGUGUUGGUGGAACCCAGAGACAGCCCCUGUGGGGAGGCAGAGAGAGGCCUGGAAGUCAGCUCUGGGUCUCAGGCAGAGGUUUGGUGGGGACAGGGUGGUCAGCGGAGGGGCCCUCCCUCUGCAUGAACAUCCCUGGGAAGCUGUGUUUUAAAUGAGCUUGUCACCCAGACCUACCAAAGUAGGCCCCAUGUAAUCAAAGUCCCUCCAAUGCCCCAAACCUUCUGUCUCCCCCUGCCUCCCUCCCUACACCCCUACACACACCUACACACACACACACACAGGUGUGUACACAAGGCACAUGCACUCUUAUGGGCACACAUGCUCACAGGAGCUAGAAUCCCCAAGAGUGGGUAUCCACCUGGGCCUGGUAUUCCCUUAACUUCAGAUGAUGGUAGAAGCCAGAAUGGGGCCCAGAUUGCCCGGUGCCAGGAGAACCAGGCUUAGGGAAAAGCCCUGGGGACACCAACACUUAGGGUCUGAGCAGAGGGAGCUCCUAACAGCAACCGUUUAGAAAAACCACUGAAUGUCACUUCCCUCUUGAAGAAAAAGACAUUGGCCUGGCUGCGGUGCUAGAGGCACAGGGGCCAGCCCUCACUUGCAUGCAGACAGAGUUUGGGGUGAUUCAACUGAGCAUUCACUCCCAACCCUGCACCCAAGUCAGGGAUCAUCAUCCCAGGAGACCCUUGUGACACCCGCAGCUUAAAAGAAGUGUCUUCCCUGCUAAGGGCAAUUGUGCCUUUUCUGUGGUCACAUCAGUAAAUCAUUCCAGAGCCCACUGAGAAAAGGUCAAAACGAGUCCAUAUGUUCACAUAACAUCCAAGGAGAUUUCAGCAGGACUGGGAAACAUACGAAGGAAGGAUAAGGAGGGGAGUCGCCAGCGUUGGCUGCGUGGGUUUGCUUUCCUUACUGUCAGGAAAACAGCAGGAAGCGCCAGACGUGGCAAAGGGGGAAAGGUUUCUCCCCCGGGGGGGUUCCUCUGGGGUGCAGGUCAAGUCAGGAGGUUUGCCAUCUUUCUUAGGGGUGCCUUGCAAGAGCCCAACAAACUGAGCCUUAAAGAAGAGAGGCUGGCGAGUUCCUUGCAGGAAAGAAAUGACAGUAGCCACCUGUGUUCCCCACUGGCCCCCAGUGACUGUGGGAGGUCGGAGCUCCAGGGGCCACAUGCCUAUCCCCAGGACUUGGCUCCUAAGCUCUAACAAGGCUCUGUGGAGGCCCCAAGUCCAAGGCCGAGGACUUGUCUGGGCUUUUACCUCUUGCAGGUCACUCUAGUUGAAGCCAUUUGUUGUUUUCUUCACUCUGACGUGAGACUUUAAGAUAAAAAAGAAAACAAAACUUUUUUAACUUUGGACUAUAUGCAAACUUGAGUAUUAAACUUUCAGAAGGAUUCAGUGCUGCUGGAAUCACCCAGACCUCCAUACUGGGCCUUCCUACUUCCUCCCUUUGAAUCUUCUACAUGGAUGUACCACAAAAGACAGAGGUUCCAGGGCGGCAUGGACCUGGCUUGGCAUCACAAAAUAAAUGACUUUCUCUGGAACAGCAGGCCUAGGGAGUGUGGCUGGGGGCCCAGACACAGCUGCCAGAGCUCUAGUGCACCAGCCCAGGGUGGUAGUCAAGAUCAGGGUAAGCACCAUUUACAAACCACACACAUCCUCCUUAGGUGGAAAAGCUGAGCACUGGAGGAUGUCAUUAGCACCCUUUCCUCUGCUGCAGUGGAUCUUUAAUCCUCUGGGACACAGCCUCAGGGGUUCCUUCCCAGCAGAAUGCUGGCCUGAAAUGGUUAUCUCCCACCAGUAUGCUGUUAUCUACUUGGGUGGGCAUGGGUGCUGGGAAGAUCCCCGUAGGUUGCUCAUCUGCAAGCCCGGCUGGCCUUCAGCAGCAGCCUACCCCUCCUCGGAUGAUCGCCUUCUCUGUCCAGCUCUCUGUAGAGCCACUGGCAACUGUCAAAAGCUACAGAUGAUGGUUCUGAGCUAUAUUUUCACAAAUGUAACUCAACACUAAGUGAAUCCUAAUUUGUUUUCAGAAUUAUCAUUCAUCCACAACUAUGCCCCAGUGUAUUUACACUGUGUGCUAUUAAAGGACUAUUAUAGUGAUGGGUAGAUAUUGAGCAGAGAUGUCUGUAAAAACAAAAGGUGGGGUUGGGGUAGGUAGACUCUAAUACCGAGGCCAUUUCUUUCCCUUCACUCAAGUAAGCUGUUCCUAAGCAGGUUAACUGCCUACGGACUGCCAGCAUGCUGUGUGGACUAAGUCACCAGCUGUGGCCAGUGCCAGCAUCCCAGCACCUAUAAUGGGUGCCCCACGUGAAAUGACACAUGCCAUCCUGUGUCCUUCAUCCCCCUGGCUUGCUGGCCUAGGUGGAAGAGGGGCCUCCUUGGCAGGUGCUUGGGGCCAGAAUCGAAAGCUGAGUCUCAAAGUGAGAAUAAGAAGCAAGGUUGCCUCCCAAGUGGCCAUGGCUCUGUCUAAGAAACUUGACCAGUUUGAUCACAGAAACAGGAAAAGACUCCAACCUAGGAAAUGCUAUUUGGGGUACAGGGAAUGGCCUCACCUGCUAGAACAGUCCUGUUACUGCACAAGAAAAGGAGUUGGUCCAGACUGUAGGCUACAUAUGUCACAGUUGCUUUUUACCCUCAGUAGCUUUUAUACUCAUAGAAAAUAUUAAAGUUACCCCUUUCAUAUUUGGAUCAUUCACAGAGCUCCUCUUAUCCUGAGUUCCUGAUAACUAUGCACAACAUCUCAGAGGAUGGCAUACAAAACUAUUUUUCUAACUAGCACAGGUAAUCUGGGGUGGGGGAGGCUUGGGAUAUACUUAAAUGUGGCAAAUGACUUCCCUUCCACCUCGAGGAAUGAAAGGGAGACUAUGCACUUGAAUUUUAAUUCACCAAUGGAUAGCUUCUGCCAGAAAGAACACACAUCAAAUAGCCAAAAAGUAAAAUCAAUCAUUUGCUUAAUUUGGGGGCUCACAGUAGGGGGAUUUACCUUGUCUAGAACAUAGAUACCUGCAAGUAGAAUGUGAGCUGAUUUCUUGGCAAUCAGAUCUUAUAAGCCCUUUGAAAUCUCCUGGGCAGCACAGUGCCUAGGUCUGUAUGGUUAAUGUAAGUAUAAAUAAGUAGUGAAAUGGUAUGGUAUAUACCUACAUGCCGAUAGUGUAUACCUGUAUGUGUGGGAUUUGCUAAUAUAACCAUUUCAAUAAAA